GUGUCAGCAGCCGCGGUAACACGUAGGAUCCGAGCGUUAUCCGAAUUCACUGGGCGUAAAGCGCUUGCAGGCGGCAAGGUAAGUUGGAUGUAAAAUCUUCUGGCUCAACUGGGAGAUGCCGUUCAAGACUGCCUGGCUAGAGGGCGAUAGAGGGAGGUGGAAUUCCCGGUGUAGUGGUGAAAUGCGUAGAUAUCGGGAGGAACACCAGAGGCGAAAGCGGCCUCCUGGAUCGCAACUGACGCUGAGAAGCGAAAGCUAGGGGAGCAAACGGGAUUAGAAACCCUGGUAGUCC
rnacentral:rRNA from 1 species